ensembl:snRNA U6 U6 spliceosomal RNA
AUGCUCGCUUCGGCAGCACAUAUACUAAAAUUGGAACGAUACAGAGAUGAGUAUGGCUCCUGUGCAAGGAUGACUCACAAAUUCAUGAGGCUUUCCGUAUUUUC